rnacentral:rRNA from 1 species
ACUCCUGCGGGAGGCAGCAGUGGGGAAUUUUGGACAAUGGGCGAAAGCCUGAUCCAGCAAUGCCGCGUGAGUGAAGAAGGCCUUCGGGUUGUAAAGCUCUUUUGUCAGGGAAGAAACGGUGAAAGCUAAUAUCUUUUGCUAAUGACGGUACCUGAAGAAUAAGCACCGGCUAACUACGUGCCAGCAGCCGCGGUAAUACGUAGGGUGCAAGCGUUAAUCGGAAUUACUGGGCGUAAAGCGUGCGCAGGCGGUUUUGUAAGUCUGAUGUGAAAUCCCCGGGCUCAACCUGGGAAUUGCAUUGGAGACUGCAAGGCUAGAAUCUGGCAGAGGGGGGUAGAAUUCCACGUGUAGCAGUGAAAUGCGUAGAUAUAUGGAGGAACACCGAUGGCGAAGGCAGCCCCCUGGGUCAAGAUUGACGCUCAUGCACGAAAGCGUGGGGAGCAAACAGGAUUAGAAACCCCUGUAGUCCCAUG